CCAGAGAUGGAUUGGUGCCUUCGGGAACUCUGACACAGGUGCUGCAUGGCUGUCGUCAGGCUCGUGUCGUGAGAUGUUGGGUUAAGUCCCGUAACGAGCGCAACCCUUGUCCUUAGUUACCAGCACGUUAUGGUGGGCACUCUAAGGAGACUGCCGGUGACAAACCGGAGGAAGGUGGGGAUGACGUCAAGUCAUCAUGGCCCUUACGGCCUGGGCUACACACGUGCUACAAUGGUCGGUACAAAGGGUUGCCAAGCCGCGAGGUGGAGCUAAUCCCAUAAAACCGAUCGUAGUCCGGAUCGCAGUCUGCAACUCGACUGCGUGAAGUCGGAAUCGCUAGUAAUCGUGAAUCAGAAUGUCACGGUCGAAUACGUUCCCGGGCCUU
rnacentral:rRNA from 1 species